GGACCAGUCAUCUUCUGAAACUCAUUAAAAAUGCAGAAUCUUGGGCCCCAAUCCAGACCUACUGAAUCAGAAUUUGCCUGUAAUGAGAUCCUCAGGACCCAAUACUUACGGUAAAGGAGAGACCAGAUACAUGAGACGAUGAGCAGCAAAUAGAAUUCAAUCAUCAUACAAAAAUUGCACGUUUUCAGCAUUUUCCUCCCUUUUAUCU